UUGUCCCUAGUUGCCAGCACGUGAAGGUGGGAACGUCUAGGGAGACUGCCGGUGACAAACCGGAGGAAGGUGGGGAGUGACGUCAAGUCAUCAUGGCCCUUACGGCCAGGGCUACACACGUACUACAAUGGUCGGUACAGAGGGCAGCGAGACCGCGAGGUGGAGCCAAUCCCAGAAAACCGAGCUCAGUCCGGAUUGGAGUCUGCAACUCGACUCCAUGAAGUCGGAAUCGCUAGUAAUCGCGGAUCAGCCAUGCCGCGGUGAA
rnacentral:rRNA from 1 species